AGAGUUUGAUCAUGGCUCAGAACGAACGCUGGCGGCGUGGAUAAGACAUGCAAGUCGAACGGGAUUACUGGUGUAGCAAUACAUCAGUGGUCUAGUGGCGUAAGGGUGCGUAACACGUGGGCAAUCUGCCGAGAAGUGGGGGAUAGCUCGCCGAAAGGCGAAUUAAUACCGCAUACGGUUAGUGCUGGAUUCAGCGCGACACCAAAGCCGGGGCAACCUGGCGCUUCUUGAUGAGCCCGCGGCCUAUCAGCUAGUUGGUGAGGUAACGGCUCACCAAGGCUAUGACGGGUAGCUGGUCUGAGAGGACGACCAGCCACACUGGAACUGAGACACGGUCCAGACACCUACGGGUGGCAGCAGUCGAGAAUUUUUCUCAAUGGGGGAAACCCUGAAGGAGCGACGCCGCGUGGAGGAUGAAGGUCUUCGGAUUGUAAACUCCUGUCAUUUGGGAACAAUGUGCACUGAUUAACUGUCGGUGUAUUGAUAGUACCAGAAGAGGAAGAGACGGCUAACUCUGUGCCAGCAGCCGCGGUAAUACAGAGGUCUCAAGCGUUGUUCGGAUUCAUUGGGCGUAAAGGGUGCGUAGGUGGCGUGGUAAGUCAGAUGUGAAAUCUCGGGGCUCAACCCCGAAACUGCAUUUGAUACUGCUGUGCUAGAGUACUGGAGAGGAGAUUGGAAUUUACGGUGUAGCAGUGAAAUGCGUAGAUAUCGUAAGGAAGACCAGUGGCGAAGGCGAAUCUCUGGACAGUUACUGACACUGAGGCACGAAGGCCAGGGGAGCAAACGGGAUUAGAUACCCCAGUAGUCC
rnacentral:rRNA from 1 species